AUGAAAGUUCACAUUGAAAUUAGUCAGUCACAACAAGUUACAUUAGAUGUAGAUCAUCAUCACAACAAAUCAAGCAAACCAACCACCAACAUUGAACUAUCGAACAAUAAUCAUCUAACCUUAAAGUAUUUAAUGCUAACAGAACAAAAAUGCUACAUGCAUAAACUCUCUAUCAAGUGUAGAUCUUAUAUUUUUCUAUAA